UUAAAUUGUCUGUUUGUGUAACUUUUAUCAAAUAUUUUGUCGACAGCAUUUAUUUCUGAAGUGAUGCCUCUUUUAGUCCUACUAAGUUUAGCCAUAAUUCUUUUUUCUGCUGUCCAAGGUAGAGUAAAGUGUCCAUACAUGGCGCCUGCACAUGUGUCCAGUGAACUGUUUUCGGGAAAAUGGUUCCAAGUAAGGCGAGCAGAAAAUCUGGCUAACGAUGAGAAAUGCAACACUGUAGAAUACUCAAUAUCGAAAAAUUUCAGAGGUUGGCAAGUUCUGGCAAAUCAAACAUUUUUGGACGGGUCUGAACAAAAAACACGUUUCGUGGCGUACAAGCAGCGUUAUCAGUUAAGAAAAACGUCUCUCGGAGUUUUCGAAGAUCAAAACUCGAGCCCAAAAGUUUCCAGCAGAGAAAAAUUGAAGUCCCAACCUAAAUUCAUUAUUGUUCAUGUGGACAAUCACUUUGCUCUGCUGUAUUUUUGCAACGAAGACGAAAAGUUUGGAUCACAUUUUGAUGCUUCUAUUCUGUCACGUGAACAAUUUCCUGAUGUUGUGAACUUAAAUCGAGUCGAACGAAUUCUAACUAGCAGGGGAGUUGACGUACACAUGCACGAUGUGGAUCAAGCCAAUUGCGGCGGUUCGAAUCCCGUCCGUGACAACGAAGUGAAUAACAAACGAAUCGAAGAGGAGUUCAACAUGAAACGAGAGCAAGAUAAAGUGUACCGCAAUUGCUUGGCUCGUCUGGCGGCGGUUGGUGGUCUGGAUUUUGAUGGCAUGUUAUGGUGUCAAAAACUGAAAAUAAAUCGCUGAUGAUUUUACUCAUUUUACAAAAAAUUAAUUUACAGGAUUUAAUCGUC